UAAAACAUCAAGAUUAUUAAUGAGUUUCUUACCUUAUUAAGAUUUUGACAUAUGCCUCAUUUAGGUAGUUAUGUCUGUUUAAGACAAACAAACAAAAAAAACCCACACCAUGCCAUGAUAUAAGUUUGUGUAUUUUUUUGUUGUAUAAUGUGGUGGUUUCACACUGAUAAUCAUCUAAGCUCCAUCUGGAUCUCACCCUAUACGGGCUUCCAACAGGCAGCAGCUCUUCAAGAACUGCUCCGUACUAUGGGGUCCGUCUGUCAGGAGCAAACUCCUCCAGGACAGGUCCCCUACAUCCCCACAUGUGGGCGUCAGCUCCUCCCAGACCCCCUGCUCCUGCAUGGACUCCUCUCCACGGGCUGCAGCUCUGGCCCAGGGGCUCUCCAUGGGCUGCAGCUGCUUCCAGGCCACAUCCACCUGCUCCACCAGGGGCUCCUCCAUGGGCUACAGUGUGGAGAUCUGCUCUGUGUGGGACCCAUGAACUGCAGGUGGACAGCCUGGUCCAUGAUGGGCCUCUCUACAGGCCACAGGGGAAUUUCUGCUCUGACAUCUGGAUCACCUCCUGCCCUCCUUCUGCACUGGCCUUGGUGUCUUCAGGGCUGUUUCUUGCCCCUUGCUCUCCCAGCUGCUGUUGCACUACACUUUUUUUUUUUUUUCCCCUUUCUUAAAUCUGCUCUCACAACCAGCGUCGCUCACUGGUUCGACUUUGGCCAGCAGCAGGUCCCUUUGGAGCCAGCUGAAAUUGGCCCUUAUCUAACAUGGGGCAGCUGCUGGGCUCUUCUCACAGAGGCCACCCCUGCACCUCCCCCACCCCCCACUACCAAAACCUUCCCAUGCAAACCCAAUGUGUAUAUUAUAUAUAACCAGUGAACCCUAGAAAAAAAAGGUUUUGCUAUCAGUAUUCCUCCUCAGCAAUGGGAACUGUUACUAGGUGGUGGGUAGAUGUCAGUGCUGUCAGCUGUAUAAUGAGCAAGAAUGCCUUGAUGAUCCUUAUAGGUCCCUUCCAACUCAGGAUAUUCUAUUAUUCUAUGACACAAGGAUGCUCCAGCAAU
rnacentral:lncRNA from 1 species